UACGUAGGGUGCAAGCGUUGUCCGGAAUUAUUGGGCGUAAAGAGCUCGUAGGCGGCUUGUUGCGUCGACCGUGAAAACCCGGGGCUCAACUUCGGGCUUGCGGUCGAUACGGGCGGGCUAGAGUUCGGUAGGGGAGACUGGAAUUCCUGGUGUAGCGGUGAAAUGCGCAGAUAUCAGGAAGAACACCCGUGGCGAAGGCGGCUCUCUGGGACGGUACUGACGCUGAGACGCGAAAGCGUGGGGAGCGAACAGG
rnacentral:rRNA from 1 species